CUUAGGAGAAAUUCUAGUACAUGCAAACUUACUUUUGAAUCCUAUUUUGGCAACUACACCAAUUUUAGCUUCAGUAUAGAGGUAUAAUUUGGAGCCCUUCUUAUUGGAAGUAUUGGCUCAGCCUAAACUUGGAUGGACAACUGGCAGAAGGUUCAAGAACAAUAAUAAGAGGUUCUUUUGGGCGUUGAUUUGCAUGACUCCAUGAGCCUGAGGACUUUGGGCUGAAGAAAGAGAGAAACAGAAUCUAGAGGUAAGAGAAAUGGAAGGGAGGGGAGGAGAUGGGAUGGGGUGGCAUUUGGCGCCUCCUUCCAACAAUCUCUGACUCCGGGGGCCUAAUUACCUAGAUUGGGCUUUUGGGGGGAGGGGCUAAAAGUAUGAGUUGAUGACGCUAAUUUUUGUGGCAUUUUUGGAGGAGCAUCAAAGGAAAUAUAGUGCCUAUUACUUGAAGGUUUGGAAUUUUGGGGGUACUUGGGGAGAUGGCACCUGGGGCAGAGUGCCUAAGGAACUGGUGCCAGGGCAUGCACCCUCCUGCCACUGAUGGAACAGCCCUUGGCUGGGGACACAGGUGGGAUGUGUCUAUGUUCAGAAGAAAAGUGGUUUUUAAUAUACAUAUUAUCCAGUACAGAACAAAGUAUUUAUAAAUAGUUAAUGUUUGGGAAAAACAGCAUGAAAUUUUUAGCAACAAGAUAAAUAGAAUAUGUUCCAUGAUUAUCAAUUCAUAAUGUUUUACCUGUCAUUUAGUCUGUAUUUAUAUAGGUGUUGACGUUGCAUAAUAAAAGUGAAUGUGUCAAAAUAAAUAAAGUAGUAGUUCUCAAACUGGUUCUCUGGAACUCUCGGGUCCCUCAGGUACACAAAGGUGGGUGUGUGUUGGGAGAUGGAAUGAGGGAAUGUUGCUGCUUCAACUCAUCUGUCGUACUUUUAUCCAUUUUAUAUAUUGAGUUUCUGAUAUAUCAUUAUAAAGAAGGGUGCUUUCAAAAGUAAGAGUGCCACUAUUAUAUGAGCUUUCAAGGGUUAAAUUUUAGCCCGAAUUAUGGGGCCGCCAUGUGUUUGGAACACGAAUCUAUCUCUGAAGGUUCUCAAAUCAAAACAUUGGCUCUAUCAUCGUUUGUGGGAAUCAGAUUCUUUCUCCCGGGCCUCAUUAUCGUUAAUAAUGGAAAUGUACCUUUGGCUUUCCUAAAGGCACCUGGACUUACGAUCGCUCUCUCUGAUCUCUCUGGCUUCCCACCUGGAGAAGAGCGUGUACACGUUUCCCUGGUUCAAGCCUUGGGACUUUUCGAAGGAUGAAUGGAAGGGCAGGGCUCUGGGCAGAGUGGAGAUGGACCAGCAGGAGGCUCGCCGACCAGCCUGGAUCGAGGAGAAAGAAUGGCCAGCUUGAGGGUAGCUGGGGGUCCCGAGAUGGAGUCAUUCAGGGCACUAAGGAGUGAGAUGUGGGGACAAAGUUUAGGAGACCAAGAAAGAGUUAAGUGGCUCGCACUCAUGAAGGAGCAGCUGAAGUUUAACAUUUGUGGUUUCAGAGGGCACCAGUGUUGCCUAUGUGCUGGAUGUGGAAAGAAGGGUACACGUUCACUUUCCUUUCAUAAGGACUAAUUGUGAGGAAAGGAAAUAUACAGAAAGUCCUCCCCCUCCCCUUUUUUUCUUGGAAAAAAAGAAGAAAGCACUUAGUCACUGAGUAGAGUGAAGCUGCCAGCAUACUGGAUCUCCAAUGAUUUCAGAUUGAAUUUAAAAACAAAACCACGCAUGUGGGUGCCAUCCUGCUUGCAGCCAUAUGAACAAGAUAUUUAUUCAAACUUUCGUUUGCGUAACAGUAUCUGCUGAGCAUCUGCUGUGUGCCAAGCACAGCUCUGGACUCUGGAGAUAGAGAGUGAACAAGAGACUGAGCCACUGUCCCAUGUUAUUCAUUGCAGAUGAGAAAAUUGAACUCUACAAAGCGUCUUGCCCAACGUGUAGAAUUGGCACUUGAUUCUGAACUCAGUGUUCUGUCUUCUGCACGACGCUGCCUCGCGUAAUUUCGGAGGACUCUGGUUGGAUAUCAGCAGGAUGGUUCUGUCUUUUCUUUGCCCUUUCCUUGGUGGUGGUCUGCUCCCUUCCGUCCUCUAUGGAAUGGUGUGGAUGCAGAGAGAUGCGCCGUGCCUGAGAGUCGCUUGCACCUUUUCCUGGUCCUGCGGCAAAUCAUUCAGUUUCUGAAUAGCAACCUAGGAUCACGUUAUUAAAAACAGUAUUGUUGAGUGAGCAUUGGUGAUUGCACCUCCUCCAAUCAAGCUGUGGGAUAUCUUUGAGGAGAGCCAAGCUUUCAAGUAAAAGUGAAGAGCUGGAGAGAGCUUUGAAGAGGAGGAGGGAGAAAGAAGCACGGCCUUGCUACUUGGAGAGGAUCAGAGAAGACAGGAAAAAAGGCAGUAGGAAAAGCAGCCAGAGGAUAGAGAGGCUGCUUACUAUUGUGAAAGAACACUGGAUUAGGAGUUAGACGAAAGACCGCGGUUUGAGUUUCAUCUUUGCCACCUAAACCCUUACAG
ensembl:lncRNA